ACGCACCUCUGCCACCUCAUCAUCAAGUGUAUUCAUCACCAGGCUGUGCGUGUGCUCACUAGAGAGAGCAAGAGAGAGAACGAGAGUGAACAAGUACCUCCCAGUGGGCAUGGUCACAUCGCAAUUCCAUCUCUGAUUCUCCUCCCAAUCAGGAUUUGGGGCACACACAUGCAUCUGGCGUGUUUUCUAAGCCACCAGGGCCAGGAUUAGAGCCAUGGUCAGCCACCUGGGAUCCACAUGGGAUCACUGUCUUCCCAUUUCGUGUACGUGGGGAACCCUUUAAAGUCCCAGUCUCUUACUACGUUUUUGAAAAGAGACCUAGCGCCCUACGGUAUCAGGCUCCGGUUGAAGCUGCCCUGUACCAGCCCCACGAAGCCACAUUAACAGCAUGCAGUACUUAACAGAACCGUGCCGAAGUCAUCAUCAGAAUACAACCCACAACAUGCUUCUGGGAGCCCUGCUCUUUGCUGAGGGCCUGAGGCAUUGCCCACCAGCACACGCACAGCCUCAGAUACCAUCCUCCCGC